CUUGGUUGUCCUGGGAGUUCUGGCUCUGUCCUGUUUUGGUACCAGUAUUGCUGGUGAAUGGAGCCUCAGGGUUUCUGUGUACUCUGUAAGGCUUUGCUCAGCAACCAUGGUAUUACACAGAAAUUGCUGUGACUGGAUUGUUGCUGGAGAAAUGUUGAAUAACCUUCUGCAAAGGGAAACUGAAGGACAGGAUGACAGCUGCCUGCCAUCCCUCAGAUAUCUGAUGACCCCGGGCCAGGACCUGAAACCUGGAUUGACAGAAAACUCCCACUUCUCGGAAAGCACUAGGAAAAUUAUCCUGACUUUGAAAGCAGUUUUCAUCCUGGAGUGGAGGGCCUGCUUAGCAGCUGCU